CCUUUUUUACUUUUUAAAUUUUAUACCAUGUGGAUGUAAUGCCUGUUCAAAACAUAAAGUUGCUUUAAAAAUUUUUCUUUAAAGAAAGAAAACUCCUAACUGAUGGAGUAGGCACACAGGAAUAUUUAUAACUGUCACACGCACCCGCAUGCAGAAAGUCUGGAAUGAUACGCGGACUGCCAACAGCGGUUACCCCAAGGAGAGGAGUUGGAGUGCGCAUGCGGGCAGCCAGGAAUGAUUUCCCAACUGAAAGGUCACUCCACGCUGACAUUUACUGCAAGGCAACGUUCUAAACUUUACAAGUAUCAAGUCAUUUUACCCUUGCCCAAGAUGCUGAGGAAGAUCAGCUCCAUCACCCUAAAUCAACAGGAAUGCAUGUACUUUCAGAACCAGCCAUUCCGCUUUUAGGACCGUAUCCCACGGAAAUACCUGAACAAGUUGCUGACGGCAGGCUGUGUGCCUAUAAGAGUCACAGGCCAUGGACUUCUAUGCACCUGUCAAAAGGAGUAAAGUCGUGACCUCACGGUUCGUGGGUUGGUACCCCGUGUCAGGCUUUGCAAUGACAGCAUGGAGUCUGCUUGGGAUUCGCUCUCUCUUUCUCUCUCUCUCUGCCCCUCCCUCUCUCAAAAUAAAUAAAUAAACUUAAAAACUGAUACGUAUUUUUUUAAAAAGGAAUGUUUCAGUUGUGUAAUUACAUUUAAAAAAAUUAGUACCAAUACAUGAACUUUUUGUGGCCCAAGCGGCAGCUUGCCCACCGUUCCUCCUCCCUUAUCUCUCCCCCCUUUCCACACAAAGUCUUGUCUGCUCCUUCUCGCAUUUGCUAUCUUUGGACCUCAGACUCCUGAGCUGGCUGCAAGACCCCAGAGCCCCUCCAAACCACACUCACUAAUCCCUCUCUAAUCUCAGCUCCCCAGCAGCUCAAACCGGCUGCUGUCUCCUGUGGGAGGUGGGCAGGAGUCCCCUUGGCUGAUGCCCAUCAUAAAAAGAGGAACACAGAAAAAAAAAAAAAAAGGAGCAGCUGUGGUGUAUGGAUACUCAGAGCUCCAGGACAUGGGGCCCAGAUUCUCCCAGGGAAGCGUAUUUCUUCCUCUCCUUCCUGACAUACCCAAUGCUGUCAGAGCUUUUUCUAAGAAUUUUCUAAGGGAGAGUGUUGGUCAAAACCAUUCUGAGUCCCACACUCUCCCUUGGCAAGUAAGGACCCUACAUCCAGGCUAAGCCUUUGCCACCUGCUUCUCUCCAAGCGGGGUCCCUUAACAGUUUCAGAGUCCGAACACUCACUUUGUUAACUGCUCAGGAGAGGGAUUGCAUCAGACAAGCAGUCUACACCCAUGGUUCUCAGGUGUGAUGGUACACUGCAAUCACGGGGGGAGAUUUGCAAACUACUGACAUCUGGAUCCUACCCCUAGAAGUUCUUUUUUUAUUUUAACUGGAAGGUGGCCUGAGCGCUGGGAUUUUGUUACUCCCCAGGUGUCCCUAAUGUGCAGCCAUAGCUGAGAACCACUAGUUAAUGUGAUGUGUGUGUGUGUGUGUGUGUGUGUGUGUGCACCUGCUGUGUGCAUAUAUAACCCAUGUGUGGAAACCUAUCUACACACACAGAGUGCAAAACUGGAUUUCCCAGUACACAAAGUAACACGUGCUGCUGAGGUCACCAGCAGAGCAAGACACCCCCAAAGAAGUGUGAUAUUUAAAAAAUGAAAAGGUCAUCCUGGGGAAAAUCAGAGUCUUUUUUGGGCAUUUUUACUUAUUUUCUGAUGUGGUUUUCUUGCAUUACGUGGGGGGGAAAGGGGCCCACAAUCCUUUCCAAGCUGAGCCCUGAUCUGGCCCCACACAUUCACAAAGAGGGCUGUUUGCCCAGAAUUGUGCUCAGGUUUUCUGGUAGAAGCGUCCAGUCCCUCUGAGGGAGGGAUAGGGCACAUUGUCACCUGGUUCCCCCAGGGGAAAGCCCCAGAGUCCUGACACUGGGCUGAGGGUCAGAGGAGCCCAAGUCAGUGGUGUUCUCAGUCCUCCAGGGGCCCAGGACUUGCCCGCCCCCCAAUCGGAGUAAUGGGAGUGAAGGAAGUGUGCUCCUA